UUGGGUAUAAAGUGUGCGUAGGUGGCCUGCUGAGUCCCGAUGUGAAAGCCCUGGGCUUAACCUGGGGAAUGGCAUUGGAUACUGGUGGGCUGGAGUGUGGUAGAGGGUCGCGGAAUUCCCGGUGUAGCGGUGAAAUGCGUAGAGAUCGGGAGGAACACCAGUGGCGAAGGCGGCGACCUGGGCCAACACUGACGCUGAGGCACGAAAGCGUGGGGAGCAAACCGGAUUAGAUACCCCUGUA
rnacentral:rRNA from 1 species